rnacentral:rRNA from 1 species
UACGAAGGGGGCUAGCGUUGCUCGGAAUUACUGGGCGUAAAGGGCGCGUAGGCGGGUCGUUUAGUUAGAGGUGAAAGCCCAGGGCUCAACCCUGGAACUUGCCUUUAAUACUGGCGGCCUUGAGUAUGGCAGAGGUGUGUGGAACUCCGAGUGUAGAGGUGAAAUUCGUAGAUAUUCGGAAGAACACCAGUGGCGAAGGCGACACACUGGCCAUUACUGACGCUGAGGCGCGAAAGCGUGGGGA